rnacentral:rRNA from 1 species
UGAAUACGAGACGCUAAGGCGUCGAAGUAGUGUAUGUCAUACUUCCAAGAAAAGCUUGCACUGUCAUAGAUAAAAAACGCCUGUACCAUAACCGACACAGGUGGGUAGGUAGAGUAUACUAAGGGGCGCGAGAUAACUCUCUCUAAGGAACUCGGCAAAAUAACUCCGUAACUUCGGGAGAAGGAGUGCCUUAUUCGUAAGGUUGCAAUAACAAGAUCCAAGCAACUGUUUAUCAAAAACACAGGUCUCCGCUAAGUCGUAAGACGAUGUAUGGGGGCUGACGCCUGCCCAGUGCCAGAAGGUUAAAGAAGUUGGUUAGCAAUUGCGAAGCUGAUAACUGAAGCCCUGGUGAACGGCGGCCGUAACAAUAACGGUCCUAAGGUAGCGAAAUUCCUUGUCGGGUAAGUUCCGUCCCGCACGAAAGGCGUAAUGAUUUGGAUACUGUCUCGGAGAGGGGCUCGGUGAAAUAGACUUGUCUGUGAAGAUGCGGACUACCUGCACCAGGACAGAAAGACCCUAUGAAGCUUUACUGUAACUUGAAAUUGAAAUUGGACUUUAUUCGCGCAGUAUAGGUGGGAGGCGUUGAUUAUAAUCUUGGGGAUUAUUGGAGCCAUCAGUGAGAUACCACUCUUGUAAUGUUAGAUUUCUAACUUUGAAUCAUUAUCUGGUCAAAGAACAGUUUCAGGCGGGCAGUUUGACUGGGGCGGUCGCCUCCUAAACGGUAACGGGGGCGUACAAAGGUUUCCUCUGAACGGUUAGAAAUCGUAUCUAGAGUGUAAAGGCAUAAGGAAGCUUGACUGUGAGACCUACAAGUCGAGCAGGGACGAAAGUCGGUCUUAGUGAUCUGACGGUACUGAGUGGAAAGGCCGUCACUCAACGGAUAAAAGUUACUCUAGGAUAACAGGCUGAUCUCCCCCAAGAGUUCACAUCGACGGGGAGGUUUGGCACCUCGAUGUCGGCUCAUCGCAUCCUGGGGCGGUAGUACGUCCCAAGGGUUGGGCUGUUCGCCCAUGAAAGCGGUACGCGAGCUGGGUUCAGAACGUCGUGAGACAGUUCGGUCCAUAUCCGGUGUAGGCGUUAGAAUAUUGAGAGGAGCCUUCUUUAGUACGAGAGGACCGAGAAGGACAUACCUCUGGUGUACCAGUUAUCGUGCCAACGGUAAACGCUGGGUAGCUAUGUAUGGAGUGGAUAACCGCUGAAAGCAUCUAAGUGGGAAGCCCACCUCAAGAUAAGUAUUCUCA